rnacentral:rRNA from 1 species
UACAGAGGUGGCAAGCGUUGUUCGGAAUUACUGGGCGUAAAGGGCGCGUAGGCGGUUCGUUAAGUCCCUGUGUGAAAAUCCCCCGGCUCAACUGGGGAACUGCACAGGAAACUAGCGGGCUUGAGUUCGGGAGAGGGAAGCGGAAUUCCGGGUGUAGCGGUGAAAUGCGUAGAUAUCCCGGAGGAACACCGGUGGCGAAGGCGGCUU